rnacentral:rRNA from 1 species
UACGUAGGGUGCGAGCGUUGUCCGGAAUUAUUGGGCGUAAAGAGCUCGUAGGCGGUGUGUCGCGUCGGCCGUGAAAACCUGCAGCUUAACUGUGGGCUUGCGGUCGAUACGGGCAUCACUGGAGUUCGGCAGGGGAGACUGGAAUUCCUGGUGUAGCGGUGAAAUGCGCAGAUAUCAGGAGGAACACCAAUGGCGAAGGCAGCUCGCUGGGACGGUACUGACGCUGAGACGCGAAAGCGUGGGGAGCAAACAGG